UCUCCUGUUUUGCAGGCGGAUUCUUUACCAGCUGAGCCACAAUGGAAGCCCUCUUUAGGGGAGGGAGCUGGGAAAGCUUUAGGACCAUCAUAGCCAAGUUCGGGGCAGCCUAAUCACUGCUGGUGAGGGUUCAUCCUCCAUGAUCCAGAAGCUCCGUGGGGAAGAGGCAGGGCAGGACCUGCAUUGAUCUUGGAAAACUGAAGUCAGAGGUCAACACCUCCUGUGUCUAGGAUGAAGGGCAGGUGCUACCUUCUGGAUGGGCCCAUAUGGCAAGGAGAAUCCAGGUGCUGGUCCUUUAUAUAAGCACCCAGAGCCCUGUGAGUCCUGCAGCCCUCUCCCAGCAACACCUCCUUUGCCACCUCAGAACUCCCACCCAGAACGCCUCUAAGAGCUCAGGCUCAGUCAUAACAACCCCAAAAGUGACCCCAGCACACCUCAGAUCCUGCAAGUGCAAAUGCUUGUAAAGGUGCCUGGGGUUGGAGGGUGAAAGGCUGGAAGAUGAAAAACAUCUUUGCUACCUUCCUUUCCCAAAGACUCCUGAGUUACAGGCAGGGAGCCCUGAGAGAAAGGGGUGCUGCUCUGGCUCCAUGUCCUUGGGAGUUCCCUGCACUGAGUCCUUGAAAGUGAUCCCUUCUUCUGGGGGGAAAGGCAUUAUGGUGAUUUAACCCAGUCUCAACUGAAUUCCCUGGUCCUGAGCAUGUGGCUGCCCCCAGAGAAGUUAGGUUGUUACAUUGGGCCUAUCAUUUCCAUCUAUUGAGAUGAUUUCCAAAGCCAGCUCAGACUUGCUGACUUGUCCCUGGCUAGGACACGCCUCUGCAGGAUCCAACCCUGUCUCUCUGUCCUCAUCCGUGGCCCAGAUGGUGAAGAUGCAGGCCAGGAUGUGGUUCUGUGGCUCACCACAGUGGCCUUCCCACCGCAUGGACCCAUCCACCAACACACCUGAGAUGCUCAGCCACCUACAAACCCCUUAAACACACCCUCUUGCAGCCCACGUCCCUGCAUUCUCCCACGAGACCGACUUCAUGGGAGGCUCUGCCAACACAAGGAAGAGUGAGUGUAAGGCAGUGCUGCGAGCUCUCAGAUGUUCCCCAUGCUCAGGAGUCAGUGAGCCGGGCUGACCUAGCAUAGUGUGACCAACUGGGUCUUUCCUGGCCUCAGCACUGAAAGUCCCUUGUUUCAGAAACUCUCUGUGCUUGGAAAACUGGGAUGGUUGGUCAUGCUGGUCCAGUGACCUCUUUCUCAGCCUACCAGACACCUUCUUUCCUGCUCUUCUCCUUUCUGCCUUCCCAUCAACAAA